rnacentral:sRNA from 1 species
GGUUGAGGUGAUAUUUGAACUCAGGUCCUCCUGACUCCUGAACUGGUGCUCUAUCCACUGCACUACCUAGCUGCCCCUCAAAGAGGAUGAUCUUCCCCGAUAGAGACAUCCUGUUUUUCAGUCAAGGUUAUAUUAGUAGCUACACUUCUUUGCUAGAGUAAGGUCUCAGUUAUAACAGGGAAAAAUAAAGAAGAAAUGAGGACAAGUUUAAGGAUAAGGUGAAUUCUGGGAGUUC